CAAAGGAGACAUUUUUUGACUCAGUUGAACCAAAAUUUUUGAAGCAUUAGUACAUUCGUUGGAGGAUUCUCCGUGGGAAUUUUUGUGUGCACGCACACAAAUACCACAAAAUUACGCCUUUUAUAGUUGUAUUAAAGCGAAAGAAAACGGGUAAGAUCGUAUCGCGAUAUAAAGUAUAGAAUCCCGAUUGUUGUUUUGGAAAUACACUGUGCAAUAACCACAUUUCAUAGUGCACGUUGCCCGGGUGUUGUCUUUACGCGGUGGAUGUGUUGUCUCAUUCGUUCGUUUGUUCUCUUGCUCGUGUUGUUCGUCGUAAUCGGUUAACAAUUUGGUUUUGAGAUUUCAUUUACUUUCAUUUAUUGUUGCUGUAAAUUCUUGCUGCAUCAACAGUGUUUUGCUUUUAACAAAUGGCCACAAUAGAUGGAAGACCGACGCAAUAUGGGAUUUCUCUUAAACAACUACGAGAGCUCAUGGAGCAUCGUGGUCGGGAAGGCGUAGUGAAAAUAAGCGAAGUUGGUGGUGUCAAUAAGUUGUGUGACAAAUUAUAUACAUCCACAAACGAUGGUUUGCGAGGAUCAAGAUCUGAUAUUGAACAUAGACGCGAAACAUUUGGCUCAAAUGUCAUCCCACCGAAGCCACCAAAAACAUUUUUGACUUUAGUUUGGGAAGCGCUACAGGAUGUCACACUCAUUAUUCUAGAAGUAGCUGCUUUAGUUUCACUUGGUUUAUCUUUUUACAAACCCGCUGACGAGGAUGCACCCUUACUACAAGAAGAAGAGGAUCACCAUGGCUGGAUUGAGGGUUUAGCCAUCUUGAUAUCAGUCAUUGUUGUCGUAUUUGUUACAGCAUUUAAUGAUUAUUCAAAAGAGCGACAAUUUCGUGGGCUACAAAAUCGUAUUGAAGGUGAACAUAAGUUUUCGGUUAUUCGUGGCGGAGAGGUUUGUCAAAUAUCUGUUGGGGAUAUUGUUGUCGGCGAUAUUGCACAGAUCAAGUAUGGCGACUUGUUGCCAGCCGACGGUAUACUUAUACAAAGUAACGAUCUAAAGGUCGAUGAAUCUUCAUUAACAGGUGAAUCAGAUCACGUUAAGAAAGGUGUCGAUGUCGAUCCCGUGGUACUAUCGGGUACACACGUUAUGGAGGGUAGCGGUAAAAUGGUGGUAACUGCUGUUGGUGUCAAUUCUCAAGCGGGUAUAAUAUUCACGCUGUUGGGUGCUGCUGUUGAUGAACAGGAAGCUGAGCUGAAAAAACGGAAAAAAGGUGCUGACGAUGGCCGUGCACCCGUGAAGAACAUGCACAUGUCACCACCCCCAACUGAUGGCAUCAAAUCGGAAUCCGAUGGCAAUCAUGUACAACAGUCUUCAUCCCCAGCCGAAGCUAGUCAUAAAAAGGAAAAGUCCGUACUGCAAGCGAAAUUGACCAAGUUGGCUAUACAAAUUGGCUAUGCCGGUUCAACAAUAGCUGUUUUAACUGUAAUCAUACUAGUUAUACAGUUCUGUAUGACAACCUUUGUCUUUGGAAACAAUCAAUGGAAAAAUACUUACGCGAACAAUUUAGUGAAACACCUGAUCAUCGGUGUUACCGUAUUAGUUGUAGCUGUUCCAGAAGGUUUGCCAUUAGCUGUUACACUGUCAUUAGCCUAUUCCGUAAAGAAAAUGAUGAAAGACAACAACUUGGUGAGACAUUUAGAUGCUUGUGAAACCAUGGGUAAUGCCACUGCCAUUUGCUCGGACAAGACUGGCACACUUACAACAAAUCGCAUGACUGUCGUGCAAUCUUACAUAUGUGAAAAAUUAUGCAAAGUUCUUCCAACAUUAAAUGAUAUACCGCAACAUGUCGGCAAUUUGAUAACAAUGGGUAUCUCAGUCAAUUCAGCUUACACAUCCAAUAUAAUGCCCGGACAAAAUCCUGGAGAUCUACCAAUACAGGUAGGCAAUAAAACUGAGUGUGCGCUUUUGGGCUUCGUACAAGGUUUAGGCGUGAAAUAUCAGUCGAUUCGUGAUGAAAUUACUGAGGAUAAAUUUACGCGUGUAUAUACAUUUAAUUCAGUGCGCAAGAGCAUGGGUACAGUAAUUCCGCGUCCAAAUGGCGGAUAUCGUCUGUUUUCGAAAGGCGCUUCUGAAAUAAUGCUUAAAAAGUGCUCUUUUAUUUAUGGCCACGAUGGAGUUUUGGAAAAAUUCACACGCGAUAUGCAAGAGCGCCUUAUACGUGAAGUCAUUGAGCCUAUGGCUUGUGAUGGCUUACGUACUAUUUCUGUAGCUUACCGCGAUUUCGUGCCUGGCAAAGCGGCAAUUAACGAAGUACAUAUUGAUGGCGAACCAAACUGGGAUGAUGAAGAGAAUAUUAUGACUAACUUGACAUGCCUGUGUGUGGUGGGAAUUGAAGAUCCCGUCCGUCCAGAAGUUCCUGAUGCCAUACGCAAGUGCCAACGCGCUGGCAUAACUGUACGUAUGGUUACUGGUGAUAACAUUAAUACUGCACGCUCAAUCGCUUCUAAAUGUGGCAUAUUGCGACCGAACGAUGACUUCCUCAUUUUAGAAGGCAAAGAAUUUAAUCGUCGAAUUAGGGACAGUAAUGGCGACGUUCAACAACAUUUACUUGAUAAGGUGUGGCCAAAGCUUCGUGUAUUGGCGCGUUCCUCACCGACUGACAAAUACACACUUGUUAAAGGAAUUAUUGACAGCAAAAUAAGCGAGAACCGUGAAGUAGUCGCUGUGACUGGUGAUGGCACGAAUGAUGGUCCGGCGUUGAAAAAGGCUGACGUUGGAUUUGCAAUGGGUAUCGCCGGCACGGAUGUGGCUAAGGAAGCUUCCGAUAUUAUAUUGACAGAUGAUAAUUUCAGCAGUAUUGUGAAAGCAGUUAUGUGGGGGCGUAAUGUGUACGAUUCAAUUGCUAAAUUCUUGCAAUUUCAACUGACUGUAAAUGUCGUUGCUGUAAUUGUUGCAUUUAUUGGCGCCUGUGCCGUACAAGACUCGCCACUGAAGGCUGUACAAAUGUUGUGGGUAAAUCUUAUUAUGGACACGCUUGCAUCACUGGCCUUAGCUACUGAACUUCCAACACCAGAUUUACUAUUACGUAAACCAUACGGACGUACUAAACCACUUAUAUCACGUACAAUGAUGAAAAAUAUUUUGGGACAAGCUUUAUAUCAGCUAUUUAUAAUAUUUGGAUUACUGUUUGUGGGUAAUAGGAUACUAGAUAUUGAAGAUGGGCGUCAUCAAGAUCUUGGUGCUAGUCCAACGCAACAUUUUACUAUAAUUUUCAAUACAUUCGUUAUGAUGACUUUGUUCAAUGAGAUAAAUGCACGAAAAAUACAUGGACAGCGAAAUGUAGUAGAGGGUUUGUUCACCAAUCCCAUAUUUUACACAAUAUGGAUUUUCACAAUGAUUUCCCAGGUUGUUAUAAUACAAUAUGGCAAAAUGGCAUUCUCCACCAAGGCACUAUCUCUUGAUCAAUGGUUAUGGUGCAUAUUCUUUGGUAUUGGUACGUUAGUCUGGGGACAAUUAAUCACUUCAGUGCCUACAAGAAAAUUGCCUAAAAUUUUAUCUUGGGGUCGUGGACACCCUGAAGAAUACACUGAUGCUAUGCAUUUGGGAGAAGAACGUUUCGAUUCCAUUGACUCUGAUAAGAAACCACGUGCUGGUCAAAUACUUUGGAUACGCGGACUGACACGCUUACAAACUCAAUUGCGUGUUAUUCGUGCAUUCCGGUCAACAUUGGAAGACUUGAACGAACGCCGUUCGAUGCACAGUCUGCAUAGCUUGCGCAGUCCACGCGGCACGAUACCCGGCUACCCGCUUUACAAUUCUAACCUGCUUAAUCCCAAUUAUGCGCAGCAGCAACGCAGCAGCAACAGCGCCCAACAGCAGCAGCAGAAAAAUAACAAUCAGUCUUACGGCGGCAGUACAGCAGCCGCAUUGAACUCUGACAUAACGUACAUCGAUGAAGAACCGCAGCAGCAACAGCAUGCAAAUCCUUUGAGCGGUACCAAUAAUGGUCGGCAACAGCGCUCGUCCAACGGUUUCUCCGAUGUGGCCUAUCAAAUACACCAACAACAGAAACAGCAACAAACUGAGACACGAAUUUAAGCUAACUCACUAACUAAUACUAAAAAACAACAACAACCAACUGACAAAAACUAAACAGCUAUAAAAAGAAACAAUAUCUUAAAGAAAGAAGACAGCCACACAGACAUACAGUACGCUACAAUACAAUAUAAACCCACGAACAUACGUCAACACUGCGUACAUACCAUAUCUGCAUGUGUAGUUAAGUUAAGACAACUGAUUUUUCGUGCAGACGUAACAUAUUAGCAAACGGCUGAACUUAACACACAAACAAACGUACUUAGCAAUACUACGUACAUAUAUAUUUAUACCUUACGUACAUUUAUGUACAUAUGUCAUACAAGCCAAGUUGAUCUUUCGACGAAGAAGAAAUGUGUGGUCACACUUAGUACUCACCUGAGAAUGGGUGCCACUUUGUUCACAUACUUGAUGGUUGAAUUUCAGACUUUCAGCUAAUUAUUUAUAGCAUACUUUUUGGCACAAUUCCAAUGGUAGUGUAAACCGCAAACAAAUUUGACAUUAACAACUUUUGUAUACGCUUUUGACUUGUAUCAACCAUACAGCUUUCCUUCCUUCGUUUAAUGCUAUGUUUCUAUUUAUAAGUUUCACAUAAGUUAAAAAUCUAAAAAACACCAAGAACAAUGUACACAAAAUAUAUAGAUAUUUGCAUGUUUUUUAUUAUUUUUUUUCGUACACUUUGCUUGACCGCUCUACCAGGAGGUUGUAGUUUAUUUUUGUUGAAAUUACGAUAGUGAAAGUUUCGCACAUUAAUUAUUGUAUUAUUUAGCAUAGAGACAAUGUUUAUAGAUUAUGUUUUAAAAACAAUUUUCUAUAUAAAACAGACAAUGUUUCCAGAUUAUAUAUUUUUAGCAACAAUUUACUAUAAAUUAACAUAUUAAAAUCAUGUGCUUUAGGCUUGCAGUAUUACGUUUAAUAAAAAGUUUCAAAUACUCUUUACAGUGGCGCAAUAAAAUGGCGUAAUAAAAAUGAAAAACAGUUGUUAAUACGGGGUACCCGUUUCCAUUUUCCAAAUUAAAUUUCCGAAUGAAACAACUACGAAACACCUUAUUCUUUUGUUUAAACAACACACAUGCCAGACAGUGGAGUAAUUUUCAAUAUAUAACGUCUCAUAGCUUAGCAUAAUACAGUUGAACUGCCAUGACUCGAAGAUCUACAUAAAUCGAACUCUUGAAUUGACAAUAGCAGUAAAAUUUCGUACAAAUUAACUGCCAUAACACGAAGUCUCACAAACUCGUAGUUUUUCAGUAGAUUGUGGAGCUUCGAGUCAUGAUAUUUCAUCUGUAUAUUUAGACAGGAUUUCACUUAUGCGUUGCCUUGGAUUUGCGUAAAUAUGUUUUUGGUGAUUUUUUGAAGCUCACCAGGCAUUCCUGCCAAAAAAGGCUGUGACCACUAUAGCUCAGAAGUGGAGGAACUGAAAUGAGAAACUCAAACGGAUUUCGUUAAUGUAAUGUACAAACUUGUAAUUUUAAUCGAGGGAAUACGCAAGACAAUUUUUUUUCGACAAAAUGGUGGCUUUAAAGAAAAAAUCGAUUUUUUGCCAUAAUUUUGGCCUUAAAUUGUAUAAAAAAAAAGUUUAACGUAAUUUUUAUGUAAUAAAAAAGCUUCGAUUAACGCUCUAACCGGCCAAUUUUUUUUCGAUUAAAAAAAAUUAUUUUUUUCAUAGUUUUUGGCUAAGUAAAACAUACGUUAAUGUUAAAAAGUAAAAAAAAUCUAAACUUACCUUCCAGGUGAGAAAAUAUGUUGACCGCCAAAAGGCGGACCUGCCUGGUAACGUAAUAAAAAACUUUUAUUAGAGGAUGAUUUUACUUGAAAUUUUAUUCAGUUCUUUUUAUUGUUUUGAUGAUAAAUUUGAAAACAUUUGUUAUUGUUUGAGAGGCACAUAUUUAAUUUACACUUAGUACAAUACAUUUGUGUUUCGGACUUACAUCCCGGAAGUUUGCAUACUUUUUUGCCACUGCGGCUCAAAACGUCAGGCAUAUGUCCAACUCCAUCAAAACGAACGUCAUCGGGUGGAUCAUACGAUUUUUUCAAUUUUUGUACUUGUGGACUUAGGCUAUGAGGUCUACCGACAGCUCUUUUGGCGUUAGUCUCCUCAUAACGACAAAGUACAUCAGCCACUUCAAUACGAAAAUUUGGUAAUUUUUUAUGAUAAAUAUCUUUACAGUUAAUUCCAUGAAUACGCUGAAAGAGGUAUGAAUUUACUAUCGACAUAUCAAUUAAGUGAUAAAAUAAACGCAAAGUCCAUUUUUUGGUCUUAACUCUGAUGUGAUAGCGACCAUGGCGGUUAUAUUCUUUAAUUAUAUUAGGACAGUCUACGUCGACGUAGGAUUUAUUUUUCCGAUCAUAAGGGCAUAUUUUUAAGGGUUGUGAAUUGCUGUUUAGUGUUUUAAAUGGCUUAAUUCCAGCAUACGUGGAUACCAGUCGUACAUAUUUUGUAUCCUUCCAUUGAACACAAGAUAUGUCUACUCCAAAAGCACGGCCAACAAACUCCUCUGAGUAUCCACGUUCUUUAUCUUUUAAUUCCACUUCCUUUGUCAGCUUGCAUUUGGGUAUUCUGUUAGAUCGGACGGUUCCUAAUGCAUAAAUUCCUCUGCUUCGUAAAUAAACAAAAAGUGGCAGAGAGGUAUAAAAAUUAUCAAAGUACAAUAUGUGGUUUUUGAAAUCUGGAAUUGUACUUGACAACCUUAUGACUACAUUGGCUUUUGAUCCUAAAUCAGGAGUUUUAGGUAUUACUUUAUUAUCGCCAGCUCCUUUGUAUACUUCAAAUCUGUACGAAAAGCCAUUCGAGUCACAAAGAACAAAAAGUUUCAUGCCAUAUUUAUGGGGCUUUGCGGGCAUAUAUUGUCGAAAUUUUGUCAACAUUUUUGUUGAACACAUUGCAACCGAGCUGGUUUUGGCACAGAAUCAAAUUUCAUAUUCAAUCUAUCAAUAAGUGGACGAAUUUUAUACAGUUCAUCAAAUCCUGCUUCCUGUGGUUUUUUCAUUUUAUUGGUAUCAUUGAAGUGAAGAUAUUUUCUGAUUGAAAAUAACUGUUUGAAAGUCAUUGCGUUUCUAACUGACUCAAAAGAAUGUUUGGACCAGUAACUCUCGACACUGGAAUAUCGGUACACAGACAUAUAAAUCAAAAUUCCGAUAUAUUUUUUUAAAUCACACGAUGUCAAAGUAAAUUUUGUAGAAACAUCUUGCUGUUUUGCAUACAAAUUGCUCUGAUACACAAUUUCAUUUUGCAAGUCAUCGUUGAAAAAAUAAUUAAAGCAACGGAAUGGUGUGGUUAAUUCUUUGAAUUGUUGCGGCAAUUCCUUGUCUCCUUAAAAAACUACAUAAUUUUUUUUCAAGUUCAAGAAAUUUUUUUUUUCCAUAAAAUUUUUCUGAACUCUGGAUUUUGGAGGGAAAUAUCUUUUAUAUUUCCGCUAAACCCUCCCGCAUUGGAUACUACUGGACUUUCACCAGUUUCAGUUUCUGGUAGAGGGGAUCGUGCCCUUUUUGUUUUUGUUUUCCCAGGUUUUGAUGGUAAAGACUCGUCAGACUGCUCCACAUUGUUAUGCACUUCUGCCUGAUGUUUUUCUGAGUUUCUAAAGAUAUUUUCAGAAACGUUGUUAUCUGCAUUAUCCCACUCUUCUUGAAAUGUACCAAAGUCUACGUUUGGUAAUUGAAAGUCUGGGUUUUCCAAAUAAUCAUUAUCGUCGUCGAAAUCGUCUUAUGAUUAUCUGCACCAUCCUCCCAUUCAGCCAUGAGUUCUUCAAUUUCCUCAUCAUUUAAUUUUGAGAAAUUAAAUUUUUUUCUUUGUGAAAACAUUUUCAAACUGCUAAUUGUUUCCCAGAAUGUUUAAAAUCCAAAAAUGUUUAAAUAAAUAUGAAAUUAUAAAGAAAACGGACUACAGCUCGUGUAUGCAAAAUUUGCUUUUAAUGGGCAGAUCCGCCUUUAGACGGUGUUCAAUUAUCAUCGGCUACAAACAAAGUUUUGCUAAAAACUUAACAAAAAAGCACAAAACAUAAAAGAAUAUAUAUUUACCUAUAUGAGAAAAUUUUUGUUCACGCAAAUCAUGUAUUUUAACGAUUUUAUACUAUUUUAAAAACUCCACUUGAUACACAAAUAAUUAUUUUACACACUUUGUCAAAAAAUUGACUUUAGCACUCAACGAUUUGCAAUCAAAUGACGAAUGCUUACUGCAAUUUGUUUUAAUAAGAGAAUUGUGUUGUUGUCUCCUGAUGUUUACCGUUAGAACAGAGAUUUGAAAUAUAAGAGCUGCAUAGCAACAUAUUAAUUAUACACCGUCUAAAGGCAGGCUCGCCGGUUACAGGGUUAGGUACUAGAAAAUAUAGUUCAGAAACCUGUGUAAAACUUUGCGGUUAAUCGAAUCUUAGUCACAGACUUUUAACAACACAGUUUUGAGAAAAACAAGUCGCCAUCUACCGGCCUACUACUUUCAAAUGACUUCAAAAAUAAUCGUCGGUUUGAGUUGAAAUUUUCAGCGAGUUCACUUGAAUGCAUGUAAAUUACGAAAAUGAAAUAAAUGAAAACUAGUUGUGAACCCUUGAUAUGUCAUGCAAUAAUUAUUUGCAAUAUGUAAUACCAUGUGAACACGGUUGAUUGAGAUAUAAGCAGAAAUAUAUAUUUUAUAUGUGUAAAUUAAUUUAAAUGUUGGCUUGCGUUUUUUGUUUUGGUAAUUGUACUUAAUGCAUUUGAAAAUUUACAAUAUAUACGAGACGUAGUUUUGCUUAAGCGGUUAGCUGGGUUUCUUUCAUUCAUUAUACUCUCGCAACAUGUUGCAAAGAGUAUUAUAGUUUUGUUCACAUAACAGUUGUUUGUAUCACCCAGAAAUAAAAGAGUUAUAUAUGGGGUUAAUAUAUAUAUAAAUGACCACGAUGGCGAGUGAAAUUGAAAUCCGGAUGUCUGUCCGUCUGUCCGUGCAAGCGAUAACUUGAGUAAAAAUUGAAAUAUCUUAAUGAAACUUGGAACACAUCUUCCUUGGCACCCUGAGGAGGUUGCUUCGAAGAUGGGCAAAAUUGGUCCACUGCCACGCCCACAAUAUGGCGAAAACCGAAAACACAUUAAGUGUCAUAACUAAGCCAUAAAAAAAGUUAUGAAAGUAAAAUUUGGUACAAAGGAUCGCAUUAGGGAGGCGCACAUUUGGAAGUAAUUUUUUUAAGUGGGCGUGGCACCGCCCCAAACAGAUUUUUUGUAUAUAUCUUGCAAACCAAAAAAACUGAAUUAAACAAACUUUCUGCAGUUGUUUCUUUUAGCCAUUUCCUUAUACAGUCCAAAAAUGAAAGAAAUCGGAUAAUAACCACGCCCACCUCCCAUACAAAGGUUAUGUUGAAAAUUACUUCAAGUGCGUUAACUCACUAACGGAAAACACCAGAAACACUAAAUUUCACAUAAGCAAUGGCAGAUAGGAGCUGCACUCAGAUUUUUUUACAAAAUGGAAAAUGGGCGUGGCUUCGCCCACUUAUGGGUUAAAAACCAUAUCACAGGAACUACUCGACCGAUUUCAAUGAAAUUCGGUAUAUAAUACUUUCUUCACACCCUGAUGACACGUGUGUAAAUGGAUGAAAUCUGUUCCCAACCACGACAACUUCCCAUGUAACUCAAUUUUGAAUUCCAUCUUAUUCCUUCACUUUGUAAUAUAUACAUAAGGAGCCAAUGAAGAUAGCGAAAUAAAAUUUUACACAAAUACUGUAUAUGAUCCGUGCAAUCACUUGGGAGAAAAUUGUCGAAAUUGGACUAUAACUUUUCAAUACCCCGGAUAUCGAAUAUGAAGAACUCGGUGUCCCAUGGUAAUUUUCACCGAAAAUUUCGGUAAAUCUCUCAGAUAUCUCAAUUUAACUCAGAGGAAAUCUUUUUCUUCUAAUAGUGUGUCUUUGCAUCAGAAAUGGUUAAAAUCAGGUAAUAACUUCCCCUAGCUUUCAUAUAGCUAAUUAUUGGAAUUUCAAAAAUACAUUGGCCUUAGUAGCUUAUAAAUCAGUUAAUAUGUGAAAUAUCUUAGCCAAAUUAAAUGAGCAUAUAAUCUUAGAUAUAAUGUAUGUUGGUGGUGAAAAUGAGGGAAGUCGGUUCAGGAUCUACCUCAGCCUAUAUACUAUAUAACGAUUUUAGUUUUUCUAUUGGACUUUAUGCCGAAUAUAAUUGUGUGUUAUCUUUAAAAAAUAUAGCAAUAAAUUGCGAAAGUAUAAAAGGUUCGGUUGCACCCGAACUUAGCCUUUCCUCACUUGUUUCCAUCCAAAUUUGCGCAAAAUCGCUGAAUAACUUUUCGAGUUCCAGCGGCUUAAUUUUUUUUGAUAUUUUUGUAUAUUUUGAACGUGGCACUAUUUAAUAGGACAAUUGUUUCCAAAUUUGAAAAAUUUUAAUAUUUUGAAAUUCUGAUAAAUUUGAAGUAUUGAAACGCACCUAACCGCUUAAAACCAUAAAUAGGUGCUAGGAUAUUUCGUACACAGUUUUCUUUGUAUUACAUUGGGAUAAUACAUUAUAGAUAUUAUUAAAAAAAAGUAUCAUACUAUACUGUGUUCGUGCCGUUCUUGUAGUCAAACUGACUGUGUAUCUUAGUAAUAUUGUUAAAUCAAGAUUAUUUAAUGUAUCUAAUACAACAGACUGUGUAUAAAAAUCAUUUAUGAAUUUUUAAUUUUGAAAAAUAAUAAAUUAUUUGCAAAAAUUAAAGUUUUCAGUUCAAAUAAAAUGAGACUCAGUGUAAAACUUGGCAUUAACAUGGCUCCUACAAAGCGUAGUACUUAAAAAAAAUAUAAUCAAAAGCAAUGCCGUUGCCAUCCAUUGUUGUUGUAGGCGCUAAAUUCCAUAGUUAGUUAGUCUACAUAUAUAACUGUAUUUUGUUAUGCUUUUGCUACUCAUUUAUGCAAGAUUAAAAGCAUGGUUCUAUAACCGUAAAUUAUUUUCUUUAAAAUAUUGCCCAGGCACAUUUUUAUACGCUCGCAACAUGUUGCACAGAGUAAAAAAGUAAUGUAAUAGUAAGUAGUAUAAAUAGUUUUUUUUUCUAUCAAUCAAAAAAUAUGCUGGAACACAUAACAAAUGGGAAAAUAGCAAAUAAAAGCAAUUACAUAUUUAGCAAAAAAAUAAUUGGCUUUACUAUUUAUAUAACGUAUAAUUUAGUCACUAAAAGUAUUCACGAUUUCUUAAACGCUGUUCAAUACGGUUUGUGUACGCUAACUACAGUUGGGGUAACAUCUUUGGUAGUAGCACCAAUCAAAGUUGUGUUGGCAUGUAUACUAUAUACUAUAAUAGUACAUAUGGUCAAGUGAAUAGCGCAUUGCAUUUACAAAUGUACAGAGCUUACGGUUGACGAUGACGUUGACGAUUUUGACUGAAGUUCUAAAAAUUCCAGUUUAAGAAGUAAUAUUUGGGAACGUAUAUUUUUGUGAAAUUCCCACAUUUACAACAGUAUAUUUAUUAUAUGUACAUAUGUUAGGAAAACGAAACAUCAGCAACAUUUGACUUGAAAAUGGUUUUAUAUAUAAUUUUGGAUUUUUCUUCUUCAACUGUAUUAGUGCUUAAUGUUUAACAGAACUUAUUUUAAAUUAUUUAAAUAUAAAUUAUCGUUGUGUAAAUUUUUGUAUUAAUUCUGACUAUAGUUAAAAUUUUUUUAUACAUAUAUGCUUACCUUUUGCUUUCUUUAAGUUAAUAAAAUAUUGUAUGUACAUAUAUUAUUAAAAAAAAAAUAUAUAUAUAUAAUAUAAAUAACACAAUAAGUAACAAACAAUCAAUACAAGAUAAACUACAAUGCACGAAUAUAAUACAUAAAUAACUGAUGACAAAACUAUUUUUAUUACUAAUUUAUAAAAUAUAUAUGUACAUAUAUACAUACACGCAUAUUUGUAACGCUUUGUGUUUGAUUUUCAUUACUUAUAAAUUAAAAUGUAAUACAAAGCUGCAAACGCAUACAGGAAGUUAGUGUACACUGCUUUGUAUUUAUUUUUCAAUAGUUUCAGUGGCAAAUUUCUCGAAGCACAAUGUUUUCAAAAUUUUCAAAAUUCGCUUUAUGGACUAAUUUGUUGGACAAAUGUUCUGAUUAAUUAUAUAUUUUCGCCGUGCAAUAAACCGUUAGCAUUUUUUUAUAUUAGCUCACAAGCUAACGAUAGCACUUAAUAUACAGCUGCUAUCAAAAUAAUAGGAUAAGAUGUGCAUAUGCACCUCUUUUCGUUGUGGCAGUUAUAUUAUUAGUUUUAUGUGAGUUCUUUUUCACUUAAUUUGUUUGAAUAUGAUUUCUUGUCCAUGCCCGUUUGGACCUCAACUCGCUUCUUCUCCGGCGUUUGACGCCGACGCCUGUCUAACACUCUGUCCAUUUUAAAAGUGCUACCCUUUACGGGGCUGCACCUGCGAAGGUUUUGAUUUUUCACUGCCUUUCGCGGCAGACGGUUCCGUCACCGCCGGAAGUGACCCUCCCGGACACUUUCCGUUUUAAAAGUCGGUUUCGACUUUCCUUCCUCUCUUCCGUUUUCUUAUGGUUAAUAAACCGUUUUACAUCCCAAAACUUACUGGGCUACGUUGUAGGGUCAAUGCAAAGGUUAUCAUGAAGGGGCCAAUGAAGUGGCAAAGAAUUUGUUCGCUGAUAACACCAUAUGAAUGCGUGAAUACUUCACUCAGUCUUCUACUCAUAAUUCGAGCGAAAAUUUGUGGAUAAGCAAACAAAAUGAAGUCGCUAAUUAAUUACAAAUAUUACGUUGAUUUGGAAGACGGUAAAAGCAUCUUGGAGCUCAUAUCACCCCAAAGGUGUCAACCGAUGUUGGAUCCAUGACAAAGAGUUGUGCUGCAGUUUUAUGAAACAAAUGUGGUGCCACAAACUAUUAAUUUCUUUUUAUUAUUCAGUUUCUGUUUUCGUUUCUGAUUCUGUUUCAACUUUCAUUAUUUUUUUAUUGUUUCACAUAACAUGAAAUUACCCUUUUGUUUAUAUUUUUUUUCAGUAUUCAUUAGUAAGUUUAAAAAAUAAUAAAUUCGAAACAGUCAACUAACAUUUGCACUAUUUUUUUCUGCAUUAUCCAUGAAGUCAAUUUGCGCUCCUAAUAUUUUGAUAACAGCUGUAUUUAUACAUAUGUACGACAUAGAAAUGUCUCGUCAGUAUUUAAUUACAUAGGUGUAGCUUUAUUAUUAGCCUAAAAAUGUGCAAUGAUUUUAUAUGAAGAAAUUGCUAUGCGCUCAAUAACAGUUAAUGCUAGUAAUUUCAAUAUUGAACUGCUAAGCUAAUUUUAGUAUGCUAUCAAUAACACAUUUUGCACAUUAUAAGUUUUAUGCAGGUUUGUAUGCUGUUUCAUUAAUAUUUUCGUAUAAUUAAAUACAUAUGUAUAUUAAAUAUUUUUCGUUGGAUUUUUCAUAACAUCCUUUUGGUCUGCUUCCUAACAUGUGGACGAAACUUAGUUAUACACAACUAUAUUUUAAAAGGACAUACAAAACUUGAACAAGGUUAUAGGCGGUGAAUUGCAAGAGCGCUUGAUUCCGGUACCCUACAGCAAGAGCAACACUGAUCAAGC